AAACUACUCCCUCUGUUCGGAAUUACUUGUCGUAGAAAUGGAUGUAUCUAGACGUAUUUUAGUUCUAGAUACAUCCAUUUCCGAGACAAGUAAUUCCGAACGGAGGGAGUAACAA
rnacentral:pre_miRNA from 1 species